rnacentral:rRNA from 1 species
UACGUAGGUGGCGAGCGUUGUCCGGAUUUACUGGGCGUAAAGAGCGCGCAGGCGGUCGUACAAGUCGCGUGUGAAGGCCCCCGGCUCAACUGGGGAGGGUCACGCGAUACUGUUCGACUCGAAGGCAGGAGAGGGAAGCGGAAUUCCCGGUGUAGUGGUGAAAUGCGUAGAUAUCGGGAGGAACACCAGUGGCGAAGGCGGCUUCCUGGCCUGUUCUUGACGCUGAGGCGCGAAAGCUAGGGUAGCAAACGGG